rfam:Camelus ferus unplaced genomic scaffold scaffold726, whole genome shotgun sequence.
AUUUAGGUUUUUUUAAAAACCAUAUUUCAUUUAAUUCAUGAGUUUUU